ACAACGCUGUGAACUUCUAAGAUUCUUCUCCCCUUGCAGGCUUUUCUUUCUCCUAAGGCCGUAUUCAUGUCUUCAUGGUCUGAAAGAGCACUCCAAGGGGGACCAUCUUAGUGCCUACAUGAUAGAAAAGUUGUCUUCAAAAUGAAGUAGUGACCCAAACGCUUGGACAGUGUGAAGGAGUGACUGAAUGGGAGAAUCAAUCAGCAACAGAUCUGCAGCCAAGGUGGACAGAGGGAUCAUGGACCCAAGUCCAGGGCUCAUUUCUGCUAAAUGAUUUUUCAUCCAGAGAAGCAAAGCCUAUCUCUCAAAGCCUUGCCUUUCCCACUGCUAGUAUGUAUAAACCUUACGUCAUAUCUUGAUGCCUCCGUUAAGGUUUUGGAGAUCUUGGAAGAGAGGCUUCGUCUGCAGUGUGAAUCACCUCUGGAGCUUAGAAAAGGCCGUGUCUGGGCCUCAUGCUUGGAUUCAGCAGGCCUGAAGCAGAGGAAGGAGCCCGCAGGCUUCCUGUUGUGCUGGAUACACAAAAGAUGACGAAAGCCAUUGUCCUACAUUGACAGCCAAGCAGUCCAUAAUAUUGCAGUUCUCAAGCACUUGAAAACAGCCUUCUUUUUUGCUCUUUGUCAUAAGCUUUGCAUCAAGAGGGAGGGGAGAGUCUAUUUUAUCAUUUUACUCCCUAUCAAAGGAGCACUUCUAGCAUACUUACCCUGAGACCUUUCAGAGUUUCUAGCUCUGUCAGCUGACUUGGACUUAGCUGAGCUGUGACUGAACCCUGACUGACGGCCACUUACCCUUGGUCACAUUGGUCUCACUAGAUACUAAAGUAAAUUUCUGGAAAAUUAUGAAAGAUCUUUUAAAAAGGCCAGUUUUUGUCCAAAUUGAAGCAAAGUCACUAACACCCACUGCACCCCUGCUGUAGCCAGGCCUUGGGCUUAUCAUGUACAUUGUCUCUCUUAAACUUCACGGAAGUCCGGUGGGAUCCGCUAUCUUGUCCCCACUUUAAAGAUGUAAGAAGGCAGCUCUCACAGGCCACGAAAUGCAGCCAGAGCUACACAGGCUCCAGACUCCAGGGUCUUUAACCACUGUGCCACACCAUUUACUGCUUAAAAUUCUAUUUGAAAAGGAUGGAUUAAAGCUUCCUUUAGCUCUCUGUUGAGUUGUUGUUCUCAAGUCAGGAGGGCAAAUGGUCAAAAAGAAAAAAAUAGUCUUUAGGCUGCGCUGGAGACCCAUUCAAACAUGCAGUGAAUUGCACGGUGGGAAAUCCGUCUAAGUGGAAAGGGGUUCUGACCAUUAUUUUAGGUUGGGACUUGUUUUGGUUUGGCCAUGUCUGAAGGCUUCAUCCCUAACUGGGAGGUGGUGGAGACUCUAGGAGGCUGGCUGAGAAGGAAGAAGCAGCUUAUCUAUGGAGGGCAUGACUCCAAAGGGUGUAUUUUGACCCCAGUCCCUUCUCUCUCUCUCUCCCUACCUCCCAGCAGCCCUGAGGUGAGUAGCUUUCUCCACCACGUCCUCCCAGCCAUGAUGCUCUGUGUUGCUACAGGCCCCAAAGCCAGCCAACCAUGGUGGACCGCAACCUCUGGAGAUAUGAGCCAACAUACAUCCUUUCUCCUUUCAACUUGUUUGUCUCAGGCAUUUUGUCACAGUAAUGCAAAGCAGACGAACACAGGCCUGAAUAUAAUUUAAUUUCCAGCUUCCCACAUAGCUUACCAAUCAGGAAUAGUUCCACAAUACAUGCUAAAGUCUCUGGCUUUGACUUUGCUGAUUUUCUUAAUAACUACUUUACUGAAAUGACAAAAGAUAAUGAAUAUUUGAAACUGGUUAUGACACCAUUAGAACACACAGAGGCUUGUCAUUGGAAGACUGUUUGGUUUUAAAUGAACAUUGGCGCCUUUUCCUCUGCAGACAUGUUUAAGACACAGAAACUGUCUGGCUUGAGAGGCCAUCACAGGAAGUAGGUGAAGCUCUAACCUCAUCACUUAUCUCUGGGAGCCAGAGGAAGAGGAAGAAAAGUUCAGAUAAAGGAAUACAGACAACUCUCCCGAAAGCAAUGCUAAGUGGAAGUGUAAUCUGAACACGAGUUUAUCAGUGCCCUUGAAAUGAAAGGCAAUAUGUAUCCAACAGUGAUGUCACUUUAACUUUGCUGAAUUUUUAGAUACUCUGAUUUCCUGCUGGAGUUUUAGUGGGACUGAGUCAGGGAGCUGAUAUGGAAUCUAUUCCAUUUAUCAAGUAUUGUGUAACAAACCACCCCAAAAGUGAAAAACAAACAGCAUUCAUCUUGCUUUUGAAAAUCCAAUUUGGGAAGGACUUAGCAUGGAUAGCCCCUCUCCUCCACCCACUGCCAGCUGGGGCUGGCAUUAUUUGAAGAUGAUUCUUCUGGCUAGCUGGGCUUGUCACCAUAACACCCACACUGGGCUUCUCCCCAAUGUGGCAGCUGGAUUCCAAGGGCGAAGUCCUCAGAGAGGAGCAGAAAUCAUAUUACAAUUUAUGACCGGGCUUUAAGAGUCAUGAGCUUUAUUUCCACUGCAGUCUAUUUAUUGAGCCUGCCACAAAGGUUCUCCCAAAUUCAGGAGGAAUAGACUAUGCCCCUUGGCAGGAGCAGAAGCAAGAUUCUGAGAAAACAUAUGAGACCAGAACCACUGCUGUGUUUGUUUUUGGAAAAUAACACUUGCCUUAGAGCCCAUUGUGUGAAGUGAUCCAGAAAACCAAGUAGAAGCAGGAUCAUUCUUCAAGGGAAGAUGGGCACCCUGAAGACCAGAUGACCUUGUUGCCAUGAUGGACUGUCCCACCACUCUCCAAUCCCAGCCUUCUCUCGGUCCCAGGAAGGACUCUCUGUUCACAGUGGUUGAGCCUUUCUGUCUCUCCUCUUGACUGCUGACCCCCUAUCUCUACCAUGGCUCGGUGACACCACCCCCCAGUCUCCUCUGGCUGUGCUUGUCACAGUAUUCCUUUCCUUCUCUGAACUUUUACCUUUAUGUCACUGGCAGGGGCGCUCACAUAUUCUUUCUUCUCUUGCAAGUGAAUUUUCUUGGAUGCAUGUUUGCCUCCGAAUUAGAUAAUAAGCCCUUGGUAUCUCUCACAAAGCCUUGCACAGAGUGGGCAUUCAGCUCAUGGUUCUUGACUAGAUUACACAUUCAUUACAUCACUGUGCAGUUGGUUUCCCCGAGUUACACAUCAACAUGAGAGGGAAUUGCAGUCCCAUGGCCUAUUAUACAAGUGUGACAUCUCACUUGAGUGUUUGGUUGCCCUUCAACGACAGGCAAAUAAAUGUCAGAUUUGUC